rnacentral:rRNA from 1 species
UUCGCCUUCAUGAAGCUGGAAUUGCUAGUAAUGGCAGGUCAGCAUACUGCCGUGAAUAGUUCCCGGGCCUUGUACACACCGCCCGUCACACCAUGAGAGUUGGAAAUACCCGAAGCCUGUGAGCUAACAGUAAUGAGGCAGCAGUCGAAGGUAGAGCCAAUGAUUGGGGUGAAGUCGUAACAAGGUAAC